rnacentral:rRNA from 1 species
UGGGGAAUCUUGCACAAUGGGGGAAACCCUGAUGCAGCGACGCCGCGUGAGUGAUGAAGCCCUUCGGGGUGUAAAGCUCUUUCGGCAGGGACGAUAAUGACGGUACCUGCAGAAGAAGCUGCGGCUAACUACGUGCCAGCAGCCGCGGUAAUACGUAGGCAGCAAGCGUUGUUCGGAAUUACUGGGCGUAAAGAGUGCGUAGGCGGUUUGGCAAGUUUGGUGUGAAAUCUCCCGGCUUAACUGGGAGGGUGCGCCGAAAACUGCCAGGCUAGAGUGUGGGAGAGGAAAGUGGAAUUCCUGGUGUAGCGGUGAAAUGCGUAGAUAUCAGGAGGAACACCUGCGGUGUAGACGGCUUUCUGGACCACUACUGACGCUGAGGCACGAAAGCGUGGGGAGCAAACA